rnacentral:SRP_RNA from 1 species
GCCAGGCGUGGUAGUACACGCCUGUAGUCCCAGCUACUCGGGAGGCUGAGGCAGGAGAAUUGCUUGAGCCCAGGAGGUCAAGGCUGCAGUGAGCCGUGAUUGUGCCACUGCACUUUAGCCUGGGCAAGAGAGUGAGACCCUGUCUCAA